GCUUACGGCCACACCUCCCUGAGCACACCCGAUCUCGUCUGAUCUCGGGAAGCUAAGCAGGGUCGGGCCUGGUUAGUACUUGGAUGGGAGACCGCCUGGGAAUACCAGGUGCUUAAAGCC
rnacentral:rRNA from 1 species